GAUGAACGCUGGCUACAGGCUUAACACAUGCAAGUCGAGGGGAAACGACGGGGAAGCUUGCUUCCCCGGGCGUCGACCGGCGCACGGGUGAGUAACGCGUAUCCAACCUGCCUCUGACUGAGGGAUAACCCGUCGAAAGUCGGCCUAAUACCUCAUGGCAUCGUCUUCGGGCAUCCAACGACGAUUAAAGAUUUCAUCGGUCAGGGAUGGGGAUGCGUCUGAUUAGCUUGUUGGCGGGGUAACGGCCCACCAAGGCUACGAUCAGUAGGGGUUCUGAGAGGAAGGUCCCCCACAGUGGAACUGAGACAAGGUCCAAACUCCUACGGGAGGCAGCAGUGAGGAAUAUUGGUCAAUGGGCGGGAGCCUGAACCAGCCAAGUAGCGUGCAGGAUGACGGCCCUAUGGGUUGUAAACUGCUUUUAUGCGGGGAUAAAGUGAGGGACGUGUCCUUCAUUGCAGGUACCGCAUGAAUAGGGACCGGCUAAUUCCGUG
rnacentral:rRNA from 1 species